rnacentral:lncRNA from 1 species
GGAUCAGCUGCCACUUCCUCCAGAGGAUCCAGCCCCACCACCAUCUUCAGGCGUAUGGCUGUGUGGGUCUCCCAGACGUCUUUUGUGAUGUGUAUAUGUCCUCUGUUGGUGUAUGAAUGUCCUUUGUGUUGUACCUUAGAGGGGAGAGUCCAAGGGAAGAGUUCACUCUGCCAUGAUGCUGACGUCCUGGACUCCACUUUUUGAUGAGAGUUGCUGCAAAGUGACAUUGCAGAGGCAUGGGGCCUGGAACUGAUAUCUCCUUUCAAGAUUGGUCAUGGAUUAUUUUUGCCUACAACUGGAUAUUCAUCAGAGAAUGGAGCAGCUGCCCUAUACCCUGAUCUUUCAGUCAUCGUCGAUGAUGGCUAUCAGCACAGGCUUUCUGCCUCGGGGUCAUCGCAUUCCCAAGGAACUCAAAAGGACAACAGUUAUCAUCUUAAAGGAGCUGGAAGGUGCCACAAAAUCUACAGGGCAUGUCUGGAUGUGGUUUGGGUGAGGAAGCAAUAGCCUGUGUGAGCCUCACCUCAUCAGGACCUCCCAGCACCCAUCUUCAUGUGGACUCAGCUUGACUCGGUGCACAUCUCCAGGCAGCCUGAAUGGGACCAGUCACCACAGCCACCGUUCCAACCACAGCCGCCAGUUCUGGGGACAGUGGUGACUGUGACCCAGCCUCCACCUUCACGGAGCUUAUACACUGCUCAGGGAGACAGCCAGGUGAUUGUGACAGAGUGUGAGGAACACCACGGGAGGUGUUCAUGUGGCACAGCGGGGGCAUCGCUCCCAGGCUGGGGCAUGUUAGUGGGUUGGACAGUCAUUGUGGACAUCACGGAAGACUUGCCUGGGAAAGGUGACAUCAAAGCUAGUACCUGAAGGACGAUUUACAGGGAAGACUCUUCCAGGCAG